GAUCAUGGCUCAGGAUGAACGCUAGCGGCAGGCUUAACACAUGCAAGUCGAGGGGCAGCGGGGAGUAGCAAUACUCCGCCGGCGACCGGCGAACGGGUGAGUAACGCGUAUGCAACCUACCUUUAACAGGGGCAUAACACUGAGAAAUUGGUACUAAUUCCCCAUAACAUUCGAGAAGGCAUCUUCUUGGGUUAAAAACUCCGGUGGUUAAAGAUGGGCAUGCGUUGUAUUAGCUAGUUGGUGAGGUAACGG
rnacentral:rRNA from 1 species